rnacentral:lncRNA from 1 species
UGGGGUCGACGUUUGCUCUACCGGAACAGCUUAGCUCAUUCCUCCCCUUCCUUUACCCGUGGCGCGGAGGCUUGGGGCGGCGGCUGCGUCAGCAAGGGCGGUGGCGGCGGCGGCAGCUGCAGUGACAUGUCCAGCAUGAAUCCCGAAUAGGGGACACAUGAGUCUCUCAGUCACCUUUUGUUUCCGUGAUUAUUUAUUCAAGUUACUCCUGAUUGGCGACUCUGGGGUUGGAAAGUCUUGCCUUCUCCUUAGGUUUGCGGAUGACACGUAUACGGAAAGCUACAUCAGCACGAUUGGUGUGGAUUUCAAGAUACGGACUAUAGAGCUAGAC